AAAACGAAAUGUGAAGGAGAAGGAUGGGGAUGCGUCUGAUUAGCUUGUUGGCGGGGUAACGGCCCACCAAGGCUACGAUCAGUAGGGGUUCUGAGAGGAAGGUCCCCCACAUUGGAACUGAGACACGGUCCAAACUCCUACGGGAGGCAGCAGUGAGGAAUAUUGGUCAAUGGACGGGAGUCUGAACCAGCCAAGUAGCGUGCAGGACGACGGCCCUAUGGGUUGUAAACUGCUUUUAUAGGGGGAUAAAGUGUGCCACGUGUGGCAUAUUGCAGGUACCCUAUGAAUAAGGACCGGCUAAUUCCGUGCCAGCAGCCGCGGUAAUACGGAAGGUCCGGGCGUUAUCCGGAUUUAUUGGGUUUAAAGGGAGCGUAGGCCGUCUUAUAAGCGUGUUGUGAAAUGUCGGGGCUCAACCUGGGCAUUGCAGCGCGAACUGUGAGACUUGAGUGCGCAGGAAGUAGGCGGAAUUCGUCGUGUAGCGGUGAAAUGCUUAGAUAUGACGAAGAACUCCGAUUGCGAAGGCAGCCUGCUGUAGCGCAACUGACGCUGAAGCUCGAAAGCGUGGGUAUCGAACAGGAUUAGAUACCCUGGUAGUCCACGCGGUAAACGAUGGAUGCUCGCUGUUUGCGUCUGACGUAAGCGGCCAAGCGAAAGCGUUAAGCAUCCCACCUGGGGAGUACGCCGGCAACGGUGAAACUCAAAGGAAUUGACGGGGGCCCGCACAAGCGGAGGAACAUGUGGUUUAAUUCGAUGAUACGCGAGGAACCUUACCCGGGCUUGAACUGUAGGCGAACGAUUCAGAGAUGAAGAGGCCCUUCGGGGCGCCUAUGGAGGUGCUGCAUGGUUGUCGUCAGCUCGUGCCGUGAGGUGUCGGCUUAAGUGCCAUAACGAGCGCAACCCUUGUUCGUAGUUGCCAUCGGUUAAAGCCGGGCACUCUGCGAAGACUGCCUCCGUAAGGGGUGAGGAAGGUGGGGAUGACGUCAAAUCAGCACGGCCCUUACGUCCGGGGCUACACACGUGUUACAAUGGCAUGUACAGAAAGCUGGGUGUAUGCAAAUACGCUCGAAUCCCUAAAACAUGUCUCAGUUCGGACUGGGGUCUGCAACCCGACCCCACGAAGCUGGAUUCGCUGGUAAUCGCGCAUCAGCCAUGGCGCGGUGAAUACGUUCCCGGGCCUUGUACACACCGCCCGUCAAGCCAUGAA
rnacentral:rRNA from 1 species